rnacentral:rRNA from 1 species
AGAGUUUGAUUCUGGCUCAGGACGAACGCUGGCGGCGUGCCUAACACAUGCAAGUCGAGCGGGGACACAUGAGUAGUAAUACGAGUGUGUUCUAGCGGCGGACGGGUGAGUAACGCGUGAGCAACCUGUCCCUCACAGGGGGAUAACGCAGCGAAAGUUGUGCUAAUACCGCAUGAGACCACAGUAGUGACAUGCUACAGGGGUCAAAGGAGCAAUCCGGUGAGGGGUGGGCUCGCGUCUGAUUAGCUAGUUGGUGAGGUAACGGCUCACCAAGGCAACGAUCAGUAGCCGACCUGAGAGGGUGAUCGGCCACACUGGAACUGAGACACGUCCUACGGGAGGCAGCAGUGGGGAAUAUUGGGCAAUGGGCGAAAGCCUGACCCAGCAACGCCGCGUGAAGGAAGAAGGUUUUCGGAUCGUAAACUUCUAUCCCGGGUGAAGAUAAUGACGGUAGCCCGGAAGGAAGCCCCGGCUAACUACGUGCCAGCAGCCGCGGUAAUACGUAGGGGGCAAGCGUUGUCCGGAAUGAUUGGGCGUAAAGGGCGCGUAGGCGGCUCUGUAAGUCUGGAGUGAAAGUCCUGCUUUUAAGGUGGGAAUUGCUUUGGAAACUGUGGAGCUUGAGUGCAGGAGAGGUUAGCGGAAUUCCCGGUGUAGCGGUGAAAUGCGUAGAGAUCGGGAGGAACACCAGUGGCGAAGGCGGCUAACUGGACUGUAACUGACGCUGAGGCGCGAAAGUGUGGGGAGCAAACAGGAUUAGAUACCCUGGUAGUCCACGCUGUAAACGAUGAAUGCUAGGUGUAGGGGGUAUCGACCCCUUCUGUGCCGGAGUAAACACAAUAAGCAUUCCGCCUGGGGAGUACGGCCGCAAGGUUGAAACUCAA